CAGUAGCCGCGGUAAUACAGAGGGUGCAAGCGUUAAUCGGAAUUACUGGGCGUAAAGUGCGCGUAGGUGGUUUGUUAAGUUGGAUGUGAAAUCCCCGGGCUCAACCUGGGAACUGCAUCCAAAACUGGCAAGCUAGAGUAUGGUAGAGGGUGGUGGAAUUUCCUGUGUAGCGGUGAAAUGCGUAGAUAUAGGAAGGAACACCAGUGGCGAAGGCGACCACCUGGACUGAUACUGACACUGAGGUGCGAAAGCGUGGGGAGCAAACAGGAUUAGAUACCCGCGAAGUCCCUGUCUCUUAUAC
rnacentral:rRNA from 1 species